GGCCAUUAGAUGUGUGUAGCUUGUCACGUACAUUCUAAUUGAUAUUAACAUGCACGGAUACGAGAUUUUUUUUAAAAAAGUCUAGAUAGUAGAACUUUGAAGUGAGUGAUGUACAGUGAAAUUCUUGCACUCUGUAUAGAACAGGUAUAGCAGAUUAAAUAUCAAAACCUCACUUUCAAAGUAUUGAAAACAAUUUAAAUAAUUGGCUUUUUAAUUACUUGGUUCUGUGUACAUGGGUUACAAAUUUAACCAUGAGUUGUUGUAACAAAGAGAAUUUUGUGUCUGUUGGGACUUGAAGUGUUUUACCAUUAAGCUACAUCCCUAGCCCACAAAGAGUUUUAAUUUCCAGGCUGGGAAACAUGACACUAAGAAAGUAUAAUUCUUUUUAUUUUCAUCCAUAAUCAGAAUUCCCCAAGAUCUUCUUGUCAUAAAGAUUAAACUAUCUUAAAGAUCAAGUACAGCUGAGACACUUGGAUAGGACUUAGUAAGGAUUCUUUUUUUUGUUGUUGUUGUUGUUUUUUUCGAGACAGGGUUUUUCUGUGUAGCCCUGGCUGUCCUGGAACUCACUCUGUAGACCAGGCUGGCCUCGAACUCAGAAAUCCACCUGCUUCUGCCUCCCAGGUGCUGGGAUUAAAGGCGUGCACAACCACGCCCAGCUAUUUUUGUUUUGUUUUGGUAAGGAUUUUUUAAGAGCUGAGAUUUCAUUACCUGAAAAUAACCCCUCAGUGACUUAACCCAAAGAGGCACUAAAGAAUUGUAAGGUUUUGGGCUUUUGUUUUUCUUACAGAUGGAUUAGUCAGUUUUAUUUAGUGUCAGUAAAAAGCCACCUCCCCAGGGCUAACAUGUCGAUUUAGGUUGGCUUCUGGUGUUUUGGCUGCCAGCCUGGUUAAAUUUUCCAUGCACAUACUACACAAAAUGUGAAAUCAGAAAAGUGUAUUCUGAAAAGGAUGUGUGCAGCUCAAAGCACUGAUGUAGACACCAUGGGAUUCCAUAUAAACCUGAACUGAGUGAAGUGGGAAUGCAAAUAAGUUUCUAAUGUGGAAUUCAGCAGCAUGUCACUCCAGUGGGUUCUUAGUGAUUUACUUUAGGUGCUGUGGAGUCAAAGCAAGGGAGCUUGCUGAAAUGAGUUACUUUUAAGAAGUGCAGAUGAUGACACUGGGCUUUUAAAGCAGAAGAACUCAAGCUUAUCAGGCACUGAGUGAGAGGGGAGAAGCACUAGGUGGUUUACUCUUCUGCAUCCUUCCAUCACCCAUAAGCCAAAACAGCAGCUACAGCUGACUGCCACUUGACUUGGCCAUUAUAUAGCCUGAGGAAAGUCUGGAAAAGUUGGUAUGUCCUCUGCAGACAUUCCAAUUUUGUUGUGGCUCAGAAAUCCUAAUUAGCAUUCCUAAAGACUUGGUGUGUGUGCUAAGGAAAAGUAAAUAGGAGACUGGCUAUGUGGGAAGGCACAAGUGAUGUCUUUAAAGGAGGAUUACAUUUUUUUAUUACUUGGAGCUUUGUAGAAUUUGAAAAGGAUAGGAUGCUUAUUUUAAAAUCUCAUCCAGUCUUAAUGUGCUUUUUUUUUUUUUUUUUUUUUAUGGCUUGGAGUCCCCCACACCAAUUUCAUUACCUGCUAACAGGUUUGUUUAAUCAGGGUGUUGCUCCUAACCUGUUUAAUACAUGGCAAGAGUUUGCAUUAAUCUGUUGAAAUCAAUUCCAGUUUGAUAUAGGCAGUCUUUGAGUAAGUGGUGUUAACUUGAAAGUAUGUACUUACUAUUGGUUGAAACAUGCCUGUUAAACUUAAUUGUUAUUUAUUCUAAAUUAUUACUCUUCGGGUUCAACAAUGGUCAACUACUGACAGUUUCUGUCAAAUUAAUUAUACAUUUUAAAUAAAAACACUAGGAAUUCGGGAAGGAGUUGGUGUUAGCCGUCAAAGCUGGAUGAUGGAGGUACAUGUGAAUUGUAACAAAAUGCCAUUUUAAAAUACUACUCAUUUUUGGUGAUGUUAGGGGUUGAGGCCAGGGCCCUGUGCAUGAAAGGCUUUGACAUAGCUUUAAACUCCCAGUAACCUUCCUGCCUCAGGUCUUCGUGCAUCGAGCUACCAUGCCCACCUGGCUGCACCGAUCGACUUAGAUGCUCACUGGCUUUGACUUUUUUUUUUUUUAAGAUUUAUUUAUUUAUUAUAUGUAAGUACACUGUAGCUGUUUUCAGACACCGGAAAAGGUCAUCAUUUCCCAUUACAGAUGGUUGUGAGCCACCAUGUGGUUGCAGGAAUUUGAACUUUGGACCUUCGGAAGAGCAGUCAGUGCUCUUAACUGCUGUGCCAUCUCUGUAGCUCCCUGGCUUUGACUUUUUAAGGAUUCUGUCCUACCCUUCCGUGUACCUGAAAGUACAGACAAACCUGACUAUGGUUUCCCAAAGUCCAUUGUCUUAAUUCUUCAUUUUGAAAAUUUGAGAUGUUAUAGGUGAAAAGCACAUAAUUUUGUCAAUUAUUCUCUAUAAUCAGGAGGUCUGUACUAGCUAACCUCCUGCUGUUCAGAUGUUAAUGUAAGGAAUCUAGAGAUGCAUUUUAACCUUAUGUACCCAUAACAUAACCUUGUGAGUGUGAAAGGAUUCACAGUGGUGUGUUGGGUAUGUUCAUCCCUGAUAGUUCCUGUUAGGCUCAACACAAAAACUGGCUCCCUUCUUUCUCAGCCUGGCAGCCUUCCUACACCUGUAUCAGUUGGCUUUAGCCCCACUGCCGCUAUGUCACUUAGUGGAUUAUUUUUAACUAUUUUGGUAGUUGUACCAUAAUGAUUACUAAAAUUGUUCUGUUUACUAAUCUUGUAGUUCUAAACAAACAAAAACUAGUUACAAGCUAAUUAGUAUUUGUUACCCCAAACCUACAUUCCUUUGGACUUGUAUGUAGGUUCUGAGGUAACUUCAGGUUCUCAGGCUUGGCAAUCAGUACUUCACCCAGUGAGCCAUCUUGCCUUGAUUUGGUACUUUUUAAGAAACGUUAUUUUAAUUCCACCAUCAAGGAUACUUCUAUGGUGGCAGCACUUACUAAUAGGUUCCAGACUACACCAUACCAUAGCUCAGCCUAUCAUUGGGGUAGAGGAAUUAAGAGAAGCACUAGCAUCCCAUCUUUAGGGCCAACAGUCUGCUCUAAGCAGAUAGGCAAGGAAAGUAAGGGCAUUGAUAUCUCCUGCGCUCAGGGUUGCUUGCUCUAGUGUCUUAGCUACUUGAGCAUAUUAAAUAUCUUUAAAACCUAGCCUGUGAUUUGCUUUAUAUGCUGUUGUUUAUACGCUACUUGAACUUGAGUGAAGUUGUAAAUAUCCCAUAACUUCUAUGAAUAUGAUGACAUUUAAUGUUGGGUCUCUGAACUGGAAAACAAUCUUUAUAGUGAUCAUCACCAGAAGAUGUGUUAUAAGUUCUCUUUUGUAUCUGAGACUGCACUAUGGUCUGGCCCCAAAUCACUAUCAGUUAUUUGAAGUGAAACAUUUUCUCAUUUUAUUUUUGUUUGCUAUGUAAGAUAUGAGGUAGGGCAUAUUUAAAGGAUGGCAGUUCGCGGGUUUAGGGUUUUUCCUGGAUUUAUUUUUUUAAAUACAUUUUUUGAUGAGUGUGGGACAUUUGUGCCAGAGGACAUUUUGGGAGAUUUCACUCCAUCCUCUCCGUUAGUAACUUGAGUUUGCCAGGCUUGCGAGUUGUCUUUACCCACUGAGCUGUUCAUUGGCUGUAGUUUCUUACCUUGUUGAGCAGCAGCUCAUUGUAUUUUCCCCUUGUACUUGUCAGUGGUUUAGAAUCUACAGAUAUAAAAGGUCUCAGAUACAACCAUGGGCCUUCUGGAAUAGUUUACAAAAUGGGGUAGUUUGUGUUCCAGCUUCCUUAAGUAUUCCUUCUCAUUUGCAGAAUGGUCAAAGGCUGGGGAAUUUGCUAAAAAUCAAUAGUAGUCAAAGAUAAUUGUCUUUCAGCACUACUUGGUCUAGUUGGCAUUACCAAAGUAGUAAAAUUUUUAGAGAGUAAGCUACGGCUUCUAUCCUAGUAAUGUCAACUUCAAAGGUAAGCUGUGGCCAGGAACCAAACUAUAAAUGAGCAUGAUGAAAUGGAAAAUCCAGGCCCAGAGUUAAUUGUUCCACCAUGGUAACCCUUUUGCUCUUCAAAAUUUGCUCAGCUACCUAGGGAUUGGGAACAAGCUCUGCCAAGAGUAUGUAUGUAAGCAUGAGCUAGUUCAGUCUCUACAUUGUAGUCAGAUGUUGGACUGCUGCCUUGUAAUCCCCAGCACUGGAGACAGGCAGUGUGUUGGGAGUUCACUGGUUUGUCCCCCUCCCAGCCUAAGACUUUAGGUCCCAAUGAAACCAAGCUUGAGGACUUAUGUGGAGAGCUUUCCAGGUUAGCUUCUGGCCUGCUGUUCUCUGAAGCCCAUGGCCCCAGAUGUGCUGGGGUGUUGUGCCACUGAUCUACAACUAUCUCUUUGUCGCCAUUUACAAUUCUCUCCAAUUAUAAUUUCUGGUAGAAACUGUAGCAAGUGCUUGCCUAGUUUAUCCUCCGCAUGUUAAAUAUGUUCGUGCAAAAACCAACUGGAUGCUUAACAUGCAUGACCAAGAAACAUGCUUAGGUGAGUACAUCAGAAUUUU
rnacentral:lncRNA from 1 species